rnacentral:rRNA from 1 species
UACAGAGGGUGCGAGCGUUGUCCGGAAUCACUGGGCGUAAAGGGCGCGUAGGCGGUCUGCUAAGCGUGUGGUGAAAGCUCGGGGCUCAACCCCGAGUCGGCCGUGCGAACUGGUGGACUGGAGCCGAUCAGAGGCAGGCGGAAUUCCGGGUGUAGCGGUGGAAUGCGUAGAUAUCAGGAGGAACACCGAUGGCGAAGGCAGUGUCCUGGGAAGUACCUGACGCUCAGGUGCGAAAGCUAGGGGAGCGAACAGG